rnacentral:rRNA from 1 species
UACGGAGGGGACUAGCGUUGUUCGGAAUUACUGGGCGUAAAGCGCACGUAGGCGGAUUUGUAAGUCAGGGGUGAAAUCCCGGGGCUCAACCUCGGAACUGCCUUUGAUACUGCAAAUCUCGAGUCCGGAAGAGGUGAGUGGAAUUCCUAGUGUAGAGGUGAAAUGCGCAGAUAUCAGGAAGAACACCCGUGGCGAAAGCGGCUCUCUGGGACGGUACUGACGCUGAGACGCGAAAGCGUGGGGAGCGAACAGG